UUAAAAUAUAAAAAAUGAUUUUCUAUAUGUUUUAUUUUAACAAUAGUGUAGUAGUGUUUAACAUUUUCCACAAAAAAAUUAAACAAAAGCUUUUAUAUAAACCUAUUAUAUAUUCCCAUUUUUAUGAACUUUUUGUUCAUUGUGCAUAAUUUAUAUUUUCCCCCCUAUUCUUUCUUUCACAGAACCAGAAUGUUUAAGGUUUCAAGUGUGGGCUUUGUCUAAAAUGAGAUCUUCAGUCCUCCCAGGAUCCUUUUAACUGCUAGAUUAAUGUGCGAUAUUAAUAUUAUGAUCGGAGAGGGAUGCAUGUUGAUACAGUUUCAGCAGUGAAGUCAGCACAAAUACAGAUGAUUGAAGGAUGUGGAAAGACUGUGUGAGCCUCUCUCUGUGUGUGUUUUAGGCGAGAAAGAAAACAGCAAUUACAUUACAUUUGUUUAUCCACCAAAAUUAUGGAAAACAAAGCUCUGGAUAACUUCCCAAUUUCAUUCAGAACCCCUGCGAGGAACCCCCUGCCACGCUGCCAAAACACGCUCUCCACCGACAACCAAAUUAGCUUCAAGGGCAGAUGCGGUGCAACUGCUUAUGGAGCCAGCAGAAACCCACGGCUCCACUAAAACAAGCUUACUGGCCACAAGCACUGAUGGAAAGCACCAGUAAAGAUAUCCGCUCUGCCGUGAGAUGAGGGGCCGCCCGCUGUGCUGAAGAUACGGCCAUGAGGGGCAGCGUUCUGUGCUGUGGCUUGUGAGCUGAGCUGUUGGGUGUAUGCUGUGGGCAAUAAAGGAAAGAAUCACCCUGAGGAUGUGUAAUAUACCUGGAGACGGCUGUCUGUUAGCUUUCGCAUCUACCUCGACUGGCACAUUAGCCCUGGAGACAUUCCUUUUAAAACCCACUCUAUCGGCACUAUCAGUGUGUGGUGGGUCCGAAAGGCGAAACUAUCACGGGGACAUGGUCCGGCGUGCUCUGCUGGAGUGAACACAGCUGAUGAAAAGAGAGAAGAUAUCAUCCAAUACUUCCUCCAUCAGACUGACCCACGCCUGCGGACAUGCUCCAUAUCUCUUCCUUCUGUAGUGCUGCGGCCUGUCAACUGUGUCCGUACUGCCAACACACUGACGGUUUUGACCCUACGGCCUUCCCGCUCUCUCUCCAUGCCGAACGUAUAAGCAGCGGGAGCCAUUCUGGUAUAGUGUCUGUUAAUGAGCUCUGUGAAUUUUUUUUUUUUUUUGUGCUGUGUUUUGUAGUAGAGGUCCAGAUCCUAGGACUGGACACUGUGGAGUGUGUUUUGUUCCUUAAUGUCUGUCUGCUGCAAAAAAUGGUUUAUCUGGCGUGGAUGGCUGACCCCAGCAGGGUGAGUUAUGCCGGACCAUAUGACACGGCUGUGUGUUGGCUUAGAAUGUGAAAUGUGUAUAGACUGUUAUUCUAGUAGUAGUCAGUUUAGAUUUGGUAUGGCAGCAUUUUGGAUAAAUAUUACUCUGAUUUGUAAGGUGUUAUGUACAAAAGCAUCUACUAAUCAAUAAAUGCUAUAAAUGUAAUAUUAUUCAAAUUUGAGUCACUGGCAGUCAGUUUUUACAUAGUUAUGCCAGUAGGAGGCGACAAGUGAUUCUGUGUGUUUCUGAGUGACUCGAAUCGAAUCUAGGGCUGCAAUGAUUCUUUGAUUCUAUUUAAGUAUUCGAUUUUUUAAAAUCUUUUAUUGCAUUUUGCCUGUGUCGAGUAAUCGGCAAAAUACCGGAAGUGGCACAUUCCACAUAUUAAACCAAUUUAAAAAUCAUAAUAAAGCAUAACGCUACUAAGAAUUCACAAACACUAUGAUUCAGUUCAAUAAAUAUAUGCGAUGCAGGUUUAAUAUAUGUGUUUUACUUAUUUACAUGCGUGUGCGUUACGUACACGUAUUUCAGAGUGGGUCCAGUAAAUCCAGUUAUCCUUUACUUGUGUGGAGCGUCUCAAACUCUCUGCAUGUUGUUGUGAGUUUGGGUUUAUUAUAACAUUCAUCUGGGAACGCAAGAUAUGCUAUUUCAUCAGAUUUGUAAGGUAAAUCAUUUAUAAACCUACACAAAAACAGGAGAAUACAUUGUUAUCUUUCUUAAUAUGCUAACUGUUCAUCACAAUUUCAAAAUAAAAGUUUAAACCCUCACUCUUUUAAGAGUUUACACAUUUUGAUGUCUACAUAUUCAAGAAAUUACAGUAGCUGUAGCUUUUCUAUCUUAAAGAAAUGGGCAAAUAUUAAAGAUUAAGUCGACAUUUGAAUUAAAUGUUGUUUAGUCAAUAUUAAACAGAUUAGA